UCGCCGUUGCCGGCGACCGGCGCACGGGUGAGUAACACGUAUGCAACCUGCCCGUGGCAGGGGGAUAAGCGGGGGAAACCCCGUCUAAUACCGCGUAACGCGGCCUAGGGACAUCCCAAGGCCGCCAAAGGGAGCAAUCCCGGCCACGGAUGGGCAUGCGGCGCAUUAGCUAGUCGGCGGGGUAACGGCCCACCGAGGCGACGAUGCGUAGGGGUUCUGAGAGGAAGGCCCCCCACACUGGUACUGAGACACGGACCAGACUCCUACGGGAGGCAGCAG
rnacentral:rRNA from 1 species